AUACGUAGGGAGCGAGCGUUGUCCGGAAUUACUGGGUGUAAAGGGAGCGUAGGCGGGAGUGCAAGUCAGAUGUGAAAUACAUGGGCUCAACCCAUGGGCUGCAUUUGAAACUGCAUUUCUUGAGUGAAGUAGAGGUAAGCGGAAUUCCUGGUGUAGCGGUGAAAUGCGUAGAUAUCAGGAGGAACACCGGUGGCGAAGGCGGCUUACUGGGCUUUUACUGACGCUGAGGCUCGAAAGCGUGGGGAGCAAACAGGAUUAGAUACCCUGGUAGUCCACGCUGUAAACGAUGAUUACUAGGUGUGGGGGGACUGACCCCUUCUGUGCCGCAGUUAACACAAUAAGUAAUCCACCUGGGGAGUACGGCCGCAAGGUUGAAACUCAAAUGAAUUGGCGGGG
rnacentral:rRNA from 1 species